CUCACACCUGAGAGACAGGCAGAAAGUGACGGUUCCUGUGUGCGUCUGGGCUUUACCCAGUCAUGACGUGAUGCCUGGAUCUGCAGCAGCCACUUUGCCACCCUGAAAGGAGCCAAUUGGAGGCUGAGACCAAUACUGAAAUGACAGCAUGGAGAAAAAACCUCUGAGUCUUUGGUGACAUUGCUGAGCUGUUGAAAACAGUCAAUCCUGGAGCUGUCCUACCUGGGCUUCUUGUCGCAUGGGACAAACUAAUCUUCCUUAGGGUUAAGCUGGUUGAGUUAGAGCUUUUUAUGACUGCCAAAUACAUCCUGAUACACAGCACAGCUUUUGUAUCAGUCAGCCGGAAAAGGGAAACACCAUCGGAUAUUUGAAACAGAGAGGAUUCAUGUGGCGCUCGAUUGCGCAGGCUACAGAAAGGCUGAGAAACCCAGCAAGGGGCAGCGAGGCGACUCAGUGAUGAACAACGGCAAGAUGCCGCGGCCCGGUCCCCAGGGUGCGGGACGAGCAGGGAGGGUGGUGCUUCCCAGGCCCAGGAUCAGUGUCACCCGGAAGAAGCUGAACCACAGGAAGGCGCCCGGUGACGCUGGAGCCACCGAGGAGAUGCGACGGCUGCUGGAGGCCCUGUCCAAGACACCACCGGGUGACAUCACAAAGGACAGUGGAAAAAUUAAAAGCCGAGGAAUGAUCUCAUGCCUGCAGAUCAGCCGGAAGGAACUGGAAAUUAGACGGGAGUGAAUGAAGGAUGAACUUGUCUGGGACACAAAGAGAGGCGUGUGUCGAUGUCAAAGGCACCAGCCAGCACUUGAGCAAAGCUGAAGGCUUUUGAUGGGAAGAGCUGUGCAGAGGCUGCCCGACACCCCCGACCGCCACCUCCAGGGUGCGCGGCUCCAGGGCAGACAGAGAACCCAGGAGAAAGUCUGCAUGAACACCCCGCCUGGCGCCGCCUACUCCUUCAUUCCUGGCAGUUUCACUCCCUCUGAUGCGGACGUUGUGAAUUCCACGUACGCUGUACGCUGGGGUGAGGUGGGAGGGCACAGGACGAUGGUAUUUACGAUAACAAUUAAUCCUAGGAAUACAAAUAAUAAUAAUCACUCUUAUAUAGUCUUACUCUAAGCCAAGAAUGUCACAUAUCACUUAAUCCGUACGAUAACUCCACGAGACAGGUGCUAUCACUAUCCUCGUUUCACUGAUGGGAAACUGAGGCCCAGAGGCAGCUUGCCCAAGGUCACCUGGCUAGUUCAUGGCUGAAUCUGUCAUCAGAACCCUGUCACCUGGGGCGCUCUGUCUGUCAUUUGCUGCCCUGACAUGUCACCAUGGAGAUGAGCCCUGAGUCACUUCAUGGCCCAAUAACUGGACCCCCCGCCCAUCACACACAUGGGUACCCCUAGUCACCUGGCCCCCGGCUUCCUCAACCCAAACAUUUCACUUGGACACACUGCCCAGCUCCCGUGCCCUGGGGCCAGCCUGGUCAGUAGAGGAGAAGUUUCCCUCCUGGGGGCCGGCAGAAGUGUCCACACCUUGCUCUGUUGCCCAGAUGGUGCAGGAAUCUGGACCCUCCAUGAGCAUCUUCUUGUGGGGGGGGCCUCAUCGCACGUCAUGUGUCUGAUGCCCAAGUAGCCCAGGCACAGUCAUGGCGACUUGCCCUCGCUGGUGCCCUUCCCUCCUACCCAAAUGCCCUUCCCCACUUCUCACUCAAUGGUGCUCUCAUUGUCAGGACCCAGACCCUUUUGGAGUUGGGGAGGAGGGAGGUGGCAGCUCACAGCCCAACUGUGAACCAUGAGACCCCCUUUCUUCAGCCCGAGCGGCUCUGCUUUACCUGCUUCCCAUGUCACCCACUCACUGAACGAGGACCCUGCAGGGGCACCUGCCGAGCGGGCACUGCCCCUCACACUCGCUUUCUCAGUCUCUUCUUCCCACCCCUGGAUAACAUUUGGCAGUCAUUAUAACUUUUGGGGGGGGGUCACUCUUAGUAAUAAAAGCCAG
ensembl:lncRNA